AUUGAACGCUGGCGGCAUGCCUUACACAUGCAAGUCGAACGGCAGCGCGGGAGCAAUCCUGGCGGCGAGUGGCGAACGGGUGAGUAAUAUAUCGGAACGUGCCCAGUAGUGGGGGAUAGCCCGGCGAAAGCCGGAUUAAUACCGCAUACGACCUACGGGUGAAAGGGGGGGAUCGCAAGACCUCUCGCUAUUGGAGCGGCCGAUAUCAGAUUAGGUAGUUGGUGGGGUAAAGGCCUACCAAGCCUGCGAUCUGUAGUUGGUCUGAGAGGACGACCAGCCACACUGGGACUGAGACACGGCCCAGACUCCUACGGGAGGCAGCAGAGGGGAAUUUUGGACAAUGGGCGCAAGCCUGAUCCAGCAAUGCCGCGUGCAGGAAGAAGGCCUUCGGGUUGUAAACUGCUUUUGUCAGGGAAGAAAUCCUCUAGGCUAAUACCUUGGGGGGAUGACGGUACCUGAAGAAUAAGCACCGGCUAACUACGUGCCAGCCGCCGCCGUAAGAC
rnacentral:rRNA from 1 species